GGGGUCAGUAGGUUGGUCGUGCCACCGGUACGUACUGGUCUCACUGAUUCCUCCUUCCUGAAGAACCGUAAUGCCAUUAAUUUGGUGUUGCGGGGAAACAGGACUGUUACUUUGAAAAAAUUAGAGUGUUUAAAGCAGGCUAACGCUUGAAUACAUUAGCAUGGAAUAAUGAAAUAGGACGAUCGAUCCUAUUUUGUUGGUUUCUAGGAUUGACGUA
rnacentral:rRNA from 1 species